rnacentral:lncRNA from 1 species
AUUGCACAAUAGCAAGAAAUAUCUAAUUGCACAAUAUUGUGCAAUAGCAAGAAAUUCCAAUUGGAUUUCAAUUGGAGUUAUCUUUCUUUGUCCAGAAUAGUAAGUUGAAUCAACUUAAAUCAUUGUUUUAUACAAUAUACAAUGUAUAUUCACUUUUACUACCAACUGAUAGAUUAAAACAAUCUUUACCAUUCAGUGAUAACAAGCACUUUUUUUACAUUUUAAUAUUUUAUGAUGUAUUUACAUGAGUAGUUAUUGUUGCAAACUUCAUUAGAAAUUUGAAUUGAGAUCAGUUUUGAAAUAAGGGAAAGGGGGAUGUGAAAAAAAAAUUGGGGGGUCAAUUUUUUUCAUUUCAGAUUUCAUAAAUAAAAAGAAAAUUUCUUCAACAUUUUUUUGAGAGGAUUAAUAUUCAACAGCAUAGUGAAUUGCUCAAAGACCACAUUCAUUCUGUGUCAGAAACCUAUGCUGUGUCAACUAUUUAAUCACAAUCCAAAUUUAGAGCUGAAUCCAGCUUGAAUGUUGUGUCCAUACUUGCCCCAACCGUUCAGGGUUCAACCUCUGCGGUCGUAUAAAGCUGCGCCCUGCGGAGCAUCUGGUUGUGUUUUGGUCUGUUUUUCUUAUACUGUA